AGACCACAUAAUAUAUGUUAAGCCUUGCGGACGGGCGGGUCGGUUGCCGA
rnacentral:sRNA from 1 species